AGAGUUUGAUCAUGGCUCAGAUUGAACGCUGGCGGCAGGCCUAACACAUGCAAGUCGAGCGGCAGCGCGGGGGCAACUCUGGCGGCGAGCGGCGGACGGGUGAGUAAUGCAUGGGAAUCUGCCUAUUAGUGGGGGAUAACGCGGGGAAACUCGCGCUAAUACCGCAUACGCCCUAAGGGGGAAAGCGGGGGACCGUAAGGCCUCGCGCUAAUAGAUGAGCCCAUGUCGGAUUAGCUAGUUGGUAGGGUAAAGGCCUACCAAGGCGACGAUCCGUAACUGGUCUGAGAGGAUGAUCAGUCACACCGGAACUGAGACACGGUCCGGACUCCUACGGGAGGCAGCAGUGGGGAAUAUUGGACAAUGGGGGCAACCCUGAUCCAGCCAUGCCGCGUGUGAAGAAGGCCUUCGGGUUGUAAAGCACUUUAGUUGGGGAGGAAGGUGUCCUUAUUAAUACUGAGGAUCAUUGACGCUACCCAAAGAAUAAGCACCGGCAAACUCCGUGCCAGCAGCCGCGGUAAUACGGGGGGUGCAAGCGUUAAUCGGAAUUACUGGGCGUAAAGCGCGCGUAGGUGGCUAGCUAAGUCGGAUGUGAAAGCCCUGGGCUUAACCUGGGAACUGCAUUCGAUACUGGUUGGCUAGAGUGCGGUAGAGGGGGGUGGAAUUCCUAGUGUAGCGGUGAAAUGCGUAGAUAUUAGGAGGAACACCAGUGGCGAAGGCGGCCCCCUGGAUUGACACUGACACUGAGGUGCGAAAGCGUGGGGAUCAAACAGGAUUAGAUACCCUGGUAGUCCACGCCGUAAACGAUGUCGACUAGCCGUAGGAGAUCAUAGAGUCUUUUGUGGCGUAGCUAACGCGAUAAGUCGACCGCCUGGGGAGUACGGCCGCAAGGUUAAAACUCAAAUGAAUUGACGGGGGCCCGCACAAGCGGUGGAGCAUGUGGUUUAAUCCGAUGCAACGCGAAGAACCUUACCUACUCUUGACAUCCAGAAAACCUUGCAGAGAUGCGAGGGUGCCUUCGGGAAUUCUGAGACAGGUGCUGCAUGGCUGUCGUCAGCUCGUGUCGUGAGAUGUUGGGUUAAGUCCCGUAACGAGCGCAACCCUUGUCCUUAGUUGCCAGCGCGUAAUGGCGGGAAUUCUAGGGAGACUGCCGGUGACAAACCGGAGGAAGGCGGGGACGACGUCAAGUCAUCAUGGCCCUUACGAGUAGGGCUACACACGUGCUACAAUGGCCGGUACAGAGGGUUGCAAGACCGCGAGGUGGAGCCAAUCCCUUAAAACCGGUCGUAGUUCGGAUCGGAGUCUGCAACUCGACUCCGUGAAGUCGGAAUCGCUAGUAAUCGCGAAUCAGAAUGUCGCGGUGAAUACGUUCCCGGGCCUUGUACACACCGCCCGUCACACCAUGGGAGUGGGUUGCACCAGAAGUAGUUAGUCUAACCGCAAGGGGGACGAUUACCACGGUGUGAUUCAUGACUGGGGUGAAGUCGUAACAAGGUA
rnacentral:rRNA from 1 species